CCUACGGGAGGCUGCAGUGGGGAAUAUUGGACAAUGGGCGAAAGCCUGAUCCAGCCAUGCCGCGUGUGUGAAGAAGGCCUUCGGGUUGUAAAGCACUUUCAGUGGGGAAGAAAGCCUUGGGGCUAAUACCCUCGAGGAAGGACAUCACCCACAGAAGAAGCACCGGCUAACUCCGUGCCAGCAGCCGCGGUAAUACGGAGGGUGCGAGCGUUAAUCGGAAUUACUGGGCGUAAAGCGCGCGUAGGCGGUCUGAUAAGCCGGUUGUGAAAGCCCCGGGCUCAACCUGGGAACGGCAUCCGGAACUGUCAGGCUAGAGUGCAGGAGAGGAAGGUAGAAGUCCCGGUGUAGCGGUGAAAUGCGUAGAGAUCGGGAGGAAUACCAGUGGCGAAGGCGGCCUUCUGGACUGAUACUGACGCUGAGGUGCGAAAGCGUGGGUAGCAAACAGGAUUAGAUACCCGAGUAGUC
rnacentral:rRNA from 1 species